rnacentral:lncRNA from 1 species
GUCAGGAUGAGCAGGGAUGCAGGAAUGGAAAAGGAUGCAGGGCUGAGCAGGGAGGUGCGGGCAUGCAGGGAUGCGGGAAUGCAGGGAUGCAGGGAUGCAGGGAUGAGCUGGGAGGUGCAGCAUUGCUGGGCUGUGGAAGGAUCCCGGGAUUUGCGGGGAUUAGCAGGGAUUAGCAGGGAUGUGCAGGGAUGCAGGAAUGUGCAGGGAUGCAGGGAUAUGCAGGGAUUUGCAGGGAUCUGCGGGGACGCAGGGAUUCAGGGAUACUGGCAUGCAGGUAUAUGCAGGAAUGCAGGGGUGUGCAGGGCUGCGGAGAUGUGCAGGGCUCCAGGGACUCGGGAAUGACGGAAUUCAGGAAUUCAGAGAUUCAGGGACGCAGGGAUAUGCAGGGAUUCGGGGAUGUGCAGGGUUUUAGGGAUUCAGGAAUGCGGGGAUCCCUCCCAGCCCGCUCUCCGUCCCUCUCCCUCUCGCUCUCCGCCUGUGCCACCAGCAGAGCUGCCCUGGGAAGGUCCCCGCGCCCCCCGUGCCCCCUGCCCGGGACCCCCAAGCACCGGGAAGGGAGCGGGGAUCCCCCCCGUUCCCAAGGACACGCGGGGAGCGGCACCGGGGAGCGGUACCGGGGAUCGGUACCGGGGAGCGGCACCGGGGAACGAUACCGGGGAGCGGUACUGGGGAGAGGUACCGGGGAGCGGCACCAGGGAUCGGUACCGGGGAUCGGUACCGGGAGCGAUACCGGGGAGCGGCACCGGGGAGCGGCACAGGGGAGCAGCACCGGGGAUCGGCACCGGAGAGCGGUACCGGUGAGCGGUACCGGGGAUCGGUACCGGGGAGUGGCACCGGGGAUCGGUACCGGGGAUCGGUACCGGGGAUCGGUACCGGGGAUCGGUACCGGUGAGCGGCACCGGUGAGCGAUACCGGGGAUCGGUACCGGGGAGCGGCACCGGGGAUCGGUACCGGGGAUCGGUACCGGGGGUGAGGCGUUCGCAGCGGGGCGAACACGGUGGGAG